GAAAUAGGCCCUUGCUCCAAGUCCCAGUAACUCGGAAUGCGGAGCCGCUCGUCUCCCGUCUUUUUUAAGGAUGUGCCUGAUAGUUGACUCGAGCUUUUACUGUGCCUUGGUAACUGCGAUGGACCUGGGAACCUUGACAGAGUUCACAGCCCCUGGUUUUGUGAAAGAGCGUGCCUAGGCCUAAAGGGGUUGUCGGGGCUAAGCUGGAAGCAUUUCUACUGCCAGCUGAGACAGCCACCGCCGCGGAGGCACAGCCCUCCCCAGCAGCAAGCGGGCUUCCUCGGGAGACCGGGAGGCAGCCCGGCCAUGCUUAGUCAGUUCAGCCCUUUGUUAAAAUACCGGCCAGAGAGCCGCUCUCCCUAUCCUAACUUGCCUCUCUUCUCUCGCACCCCACGCGCUCCCCGACCCCCAAUAAGUUUGCUGAGGGCAGAGAAGGGGACGAAGUUUGAGCAGCAAUUCCAUCAUCUCAGACUCGCACGUGUACACCUUUAUCCUCAGGCACUUCCACUCCCUGCGCGCCUCGGUGAGCCAAGGCUACACCAGAGAGAGUGGGAACGUCUCGCAGCUCUUCGAACUUGUUGCCUCUACCACUCACGCAGUUUCCUAUUCUCCCAUGAACGGAACCCACCACUUAUUGAAAGGUCAUUAUUUAAAUCACUGCUUCAGAAUCACAUGCAUUUUUUUCAAAAUCCACAUGACCAGGCUCGCCCCAGGACGUUAUGAUUCAAUAGAUCUGCUUUUUUUUGGUUUUGUUUUUAGUAGUAAGUGUUCGAUGUAAUUUUACUUUAACAAAAGGAAACUGAAGCUGAGCCUGAAGGAAUUACAGAACUUGGAGUAAAUGCUUCUUCAAAAUACGAGUUUUGGUCGGGCGCGGUGGCUCACCCCUGUAAUCCCAGCACUUUGGGAGGCCAAGGCGGGCGGAUCACGAGGUCAGGAGGUAGAGACCAUCCUGGCCAACAUGGUGAAACCCGUCUCUACUAAAAAUAGAAAAAUUAGCUGGGCGUGGUGGCGCGUGCCUGUAAUCCCAGCUACUCGGGAGGCUGACACAGAAUCACUUGAACCAGGGAGUCGGAGGUUGCAGUGAGCCGAGAUCGUGCCACUGCACUCCAGCCUGGCGACAGAGCUGGACUCCGUCUCAAAAAGAAGUUUUUUCUCUUUAAAAAUAAAAAAGCGGGGAGGGGGGCAUUAAAAUUAGAAAGAUUGUGUUCAAGUUUCUUUUGUUUUUUUUUAAGUAUUAACCUAAGAAUAUUAAGGCCGGUCGCGGUGGCUCACGCCUGUAAUCCCAGCACUUUGGGAGGCCGAGGCGGGUGAAUCACCUGAGGUCAGGAGUUUGAGAACAGCCUCACCAACAUGGUGAAACCCCAUCUCUACUAAAAAUACAAAAAUUAGCUGGGCUUGGUGUCAGGAUCCUGUAAUCCCAGCUACUUGGGAGGCUGAGGCAGGAGAAUCGCUUAAACCCAGGAGUUGGAGGUUGCAGUGAGCCAAGAUCGCGCCAUUGCACUUCAGUCUGGGCAGCAAGAGCGAAACUCCGUCUCAAAAAAAGAAAAAGAAUAUUAAGAUGUUAGAGUUUUUAUUAAUUUUUUUCAAAGUAGGCCAGGCGCGAUGGUGGGCUCCUGUAAUCUCAGCUACUCAGGAGGCUGAGGCAGUAGAAUUGCUUCAACCCAGGAGGCAGAGGUUGCAGUGAGCUGAGAUCACGCCAUUGCACUCCAGCCUGGACAACGGAGCAAGACUCUCCCACCAAAAAAAAAAAAAAAAGUAUUAAACAUGUUUCUUAGAAUACAUUUAAGCUUCCAAGUGAUCAAAUUAAGUAAACCUUUUCACAAGUCAAAAUGUACUAUUAAAAAACAAAGUUUGGGGCCGGGUGCAGUGGCUCACGCCUGUAAUCCCAGCAUUUUGGGAGGCCGAGGCGGGCGGAUCAUGAGGUCAGGAGUUCGAGACCAGCCUGACCAACAUGGCGAAACCCCCGUCUCUACUAAAUAUACAAAAAUUAGCCGGGCCUGGUGGCAAGUGCCUGUAAUCCCAGCUACUCGGGAGGCUGAGGCAGGAGAAAUUGCUUGAACCUGGGAGGCGGAGGUUGCAGUGAGCUGAGAUCGCGCCAUCACACUCCAGCCUGGGCAACAGAGGGAGACUCUGUCUCAAAAAAAAAGAACAAAGUUUGAAAAUCUAAUCCUAUUUUUAGGAUGAGUCUUUGAUACCAGUCCAUGAGGAAAGGCUUAUUUGUGAAUAAAAUCAAAGGAAAACAAACUCAUAGGAAAGUCUUUAUAAUUAUUAUAAACAAACCUGGAGGUCCAGGUGUCGUGGCUCAAGAUUGUAAUCCUAGCACUUUGGGAGGUUGAGGCGAGAGGAUGGCUUGAGGCCAGGGGUUGGAGACCAGCCUGGGCAACAUGAUGAGAUGCAGUGUCUACAAAAAUAAUUUUUAAGAAUUAGCUGGACAUGGUCGUGCUGGCCUGUAAUCCCAACUACUGAGGAGGCUGAGGCAGGAGGAUUGCUUGAGCCCAGAAGUUAGGCGGCAAUGAGCUAUGAUCACGCCACUUCACUCCAGCGUGGGCAACAGAGCAAGAAAGACUCUGUCUCUAAAAUAAAAUAAUAAAUAGGCCGGGCAUGGUGGCUCAUGCCUGUAAUCCCAGCACUUUGGGGAGCCAAGGCUGGCAGAUCACCUGAGGUCAGGAGUUAAGGACCAGCCUGAUCAACAUGGAGAAACCCCGUCUCUACUCAAAAUACAAAAUUAGCUGGGUGUGGUGGCACAUGUCUGUGAUCCCAGCAACUCGGGAGGCUGAGGCAGGAGAAUCUCUUGAACCUGGGAGGCGCAGGUUGCCGUGAGCCGAGAUUGCGCCAUUGCACUCUGGCCUAGGCAACAAGAGUGAAACUUCGUCUCAAAAUAAAAGAAAAUAAACCUACAGUUUAUACGUGAAUUAUAGUGUAUCAGUUAAUCCUCCUCCCUCCUGAUUUAUAAGUCCAAAAGUUUUGAACUGGUUGUUUCAGAAAACAAUGCUUUUACUAUUUCAUCAGUUGCUUAAAAGGAAUGUUUUGAUGUAGAAGUUAGAACUUUUUCGUAGAGCUUUUCAUUUUUCUUAAAGCGUCAGUUUACCUUUCUUGUAUAUCAUUAAUCAAACGAAACUCAUGCCUUCAUCUCAUCUGUAGCACACCAGAGUAAUAGUAUCUGUGUUCUCCAAGCUGUUCUCUCCAGAAACCACGUUUCUACGUGUGUGCAAAGUUGUAUUACUGGGAUUUCCCCUGAAUGCACUUCUGGAUUCCACUGUUUCGUGUUAUUUGGUUGGGUGUUUUGUCUUAAUAAGACAUAGUUCUUUUUCUUUUUUUUCAUAGAUUAUCAUCUGAUAAGACAUCUUGCUAUUUCUUAGAUUUAUUUUUCACUUUUGAUGAAUUUUUUUUCAAGUAAGUGUUUUAGAAAGGCUGAAUGGAAGCAAACAUUGCCUUUGCGUGUUAGAAAAUAUCUGUAUUUUGUCCUUAAUAGCAUGGCUGGGUUUAGAAUUUUAGGAACAAAAUUGGGACCCACCCACCCCACCCCGUAUGCACACAGACACAUAAAAGCACACUUUCAAGCCUCUGUGACUAUAUUGUUCGUGAUCCACUGUGCCUUAAGAAACCUGACACCAAUCUGAGUCACUUUCCUUUAUCGGUAAUCUAUUUCCCUCUCUGAUAAAUUGUCUUUCCUUAGAGAUUUCAUCUAUGUGUUUCACCUUCUUUCAUUUUUUUCUGCUUUACAUUUGGCAGGCCCUUUCAGUCUGAAAACUACAAUUUGUAUCAUCAGUUCAGGAAAUGUUCUUUGAUUUUAUUCAUCUCCAUUUUUCUAUUCUCAUUUUCUGAAGUUGCUGUUGGACAAAUGUUUUAUCUCCUGGUUCUUGGAUACCUCUACCAUUCUUAACUUUUUCUUGAUCUUUUUGCUGUAUGUUCUGGAAGAUUUCCUCAAUAUUAUCUUGCAGUUCACUAAUUUAGCCUCUUCAGUGUCACUUUUUUUUUUUUUUCCCUUGAGACAAGGUCUCAUCUGUCACCCAGGCUGGAGUGCAGUGGCACCAUCUCAGCUCACUGCAGCCUCAACCUCGUGGGCUCAAAGGAUCCUCCUGCCUCAGCCCUCAAGUAGUGGAAAACACAGGUGCGAGCCACCACGGCUAAUUUUUGUAUUUUUUUGUAGAGACGGGGUUUCACCACGUUGCCCAGGCUGGUCUCAAACUCCUGCGUUCAAGCAAUCCACCCACCUCGGCCUCCCAAAGUGCUGGGAUUACAGGCGUGAGCCACGGCGCCCGGCCAAAUCUGUUCUUACUUUAUGGAUGCAGUAGCUUCUGAAAUCUCUGUGAAAAUAGUUACUAGAAUUUUUUAAAUUACCUUUUGUUUCCAUAAUUACUUAAAUUUCCUCCAGAGCCAGGUGUUGUUAUUUGUGUUUUGGAAAAGCUGCUGAGCUGAUUCCGAUGUUGAUUCCUCGUGAAGAGGAAUGAUUAGAGGAACUUACCUAAAUGAUUAAUUGGUCAUUGUUUUCUUUCUCUAGGUCUCAAAGCACUACAGAAUAUUUAAAUUUGAAAUCAGAAUGAGUACAAGGAGAGGCUGAACAUAUGGGCUAAUUGCUCAUCUUACUCAAAGAUUCCCUGAAUUCCAGUGUUUUAUCCAGCUUUGAGACCUAUGGAAAAAUAGCUGAUCAUGUAAUUCUUGAAAUUUUUGCAUAGUCAUUUGCUUGUCAGUCUCUCUCACUGGACUGUCAGGUCCUAGAAGGCAGUAAUCAUAUCUUUUUGGUUCACCCUUGAGUCCCCAGUCCCUUGCUCAGUACCUGACAGAGAAGGUGCUCAAAUGCUUGUUACGUGAUUAAGUCAUAAUUCCCUCACUUGAUCCUUCAGUGGUUCUGCAGACUCAUUUUAGGUCCAUCCAAAAUUUGUACUGGUGUAUGGCUCUCGUUGUUACAAAGGUGUAAAUUGCACUGACCUGAAGUCAGCUUCCUUUUAACUGCUGUAGGUUAUACAACUUUGGCAGAAUAUCGUUUUGUUUUUUUUAUUUUGAGAUGGAGUCUCACUCUGUCGCCCAGGCUGGAGUGCAGUGGUGCGAUCUUGGCUCACUGCAACCUCUGCCUCGCAGGUUCAAGUGAUUCUCCUGCCUCAGACUCCUGAGUAGCUGGGACCACAGGCGCGUGCCACCUCGCCCAGCUAAUUUUUUGUAUUUUUAGUAGAGACGGGGUUUCACCAUGUUAGCCAGGAUGGCCUCGAUCUCCUGACCCCAUAAUCCGCCCGCCUCGGCCUCCCAAAGUGCUAGAAUUACAGGCGUGAGCCACUGCACCCAGCCCAGAAUAUGUGAAUAAAAGGUGAGAUGACUGCUAAACUAUCUAUUCCACCCCACUACUGAUGAACAGUAACCUUCACCAGAGCAAUCUCAAUGAUGGAGGUAAACACACAUAAAGGAGCAGAAUGAACGUACUACUGCUGUAAUCAGAAAAUAAAGUACUAUUUGUGGGUGGAAAAUGAGGAGACAGUGAAUGGACAACUGUAGUUGCCUUUUCUCUCAUAGAUGCUAUCCUUUUAUUAAGUGCAGAGCAGUUAACACAUCAGUACAUGAAUGUGUCAUUUACGUUUCUAGCAGACUUAACGUACUCAGAUCUAAAGCAUCUACUUUCUAAUUUUGAGAGUUGCUAUAGCAGACAACUCAGCUCUAUAGAUAGAAUAAAAAGGCUUGUGUUUUCUAUUACAUAUACCUGUCCAAGCUGUGAUGUCUAUCCCUUGAAAAGUGCUUCUGGGAACAAUUCCUCAGAUCCUACUGGUUUUGUGAUUAAAACAAACAAAUUUUCAUUUUUAGUUUUGUGAGCUCCCUUGUUUUUGGUUACUAAUUAUUAGUCUGCCUCAAACAGGUAUUCUGCACUUGGCAAAAAUAUAGUCUCUUUUUGACCCAUUUCCUAAUCACUGCUCUCAGUGACAAUACCCUCGUGAAAGGCAGGAAAAAUUUACACUGCUUUGUGUAUAUAACUCAUUUGAGAUGGUCACAUUUCUCUUAUCACAGAUAUGCCUAAUCUAGCCUUUAUACAAAAGGCUUGGCUGCUCAACUGUGCUAAUAAAACUCUGGAGAUUCCUCACUUCCAGUCAUUUAAACCUUUACACAUUUUCUAUAGCCAGGCACAGUGCUGGGGAUAAAAAUCAUAUACCUUCAUCCACUCAACUUCCCUCACCCUUUUUUUCCCCCGCAAAACAGAGUCUCACUCUGUCACCCAGGCUGGUGUGCAGUGGUGCGAUCGUGGCUUACUGCAACCUCCACCUCCCAGGUUCAAGCGAUUCUCCUGCCUCAGCCUCCCGAGUAGCUGGGAAUAGAGGUGUACACCACCAUGCCCAGCUAAUUUUUGUAUUUUUAGUAGAGACAGGGUUUCACCAUGUUGGCCAGGCUGGUCUUGGAUUCCUGACCUCAUCAUCCACCUGCCUUGAGCCUCCCAAAGUGCUGGGAUUACAGGCCUGAGCCACCACGCCCAGUCUCCUUCACCCUUUUAAACCAAACUGAGAUGUUUCUAUUUUUUUUUUCAAUAGUUUAUGAGAUGCUUCUAAAUGGUACAAAUAUAAAUUUCAGGAAGCAAAGAUGUGACUGCUUAAAUAACUAAGCCUACUUUUAAAACUUAGUUUUAAGAAACUAAGCUUAAAUAAGGCAAUCACUUAUCACUUACAAGCUGAUGAAAUACUGAAGUCUUCUGCAAACCACACCCAUAGCAAUCUGGAAGUAGUCUGCAAUACUAUUGUUAAAUGACCAGAGAUGUCAUAGGAGAAUGUUGGAAGUAAACCUUACUUUAAACCAUGUCUUUUACAAUUUUUUCUGCCCAAGCUGGAAAGUGUUCACUUCCAAGAUGCCUACCAUUUAAAAACCCUCCUUCCAUCAACCGCAUAAACCUUCAAACUUGGUUUACAACUCUCAGCAACAAUUUUUUUUUAACCUUUUUUUUUUUUUGAGAUGGAGUUUUGCUCUUCUUGCCCAGGCUUGAGUGCAAUGGCACGAUCUCGGCUCACUGCAACCUCUGCCUCCUGGGUUCAAGCAAUUCUCCUGCCUCAGCCUUCUGAGCAGCUGGGAUUACAGGUGUGUGCCACCACGCCCGGCUAAUUUUUUGUAUUUUUAGUAGAGACGAGAUUUCACCAUGCUGGCCAGGCUGGUCUUGAACUCCCAACCUCAGGUGAUCCACCUGCCCCAGCCUCCCAAAGUGCUGGGAUUACAGGCAUGAGCCACCAUGCCCGGCCUAACCUAUUUUAUAGUUAAUAGAGACGGGGUUUUACUAUGUUGCCCAGACUGGUCUCGCACUCCUGGACUCAAGUGAUCCUCCUGCCUUGGCCCCUGCCAAAGUGCUGGAAUCCCAGCCAUCAGUUACCAUGCCUGGCCCCAGCAACAAUUUUUAAUUCCAUAUUUUAUCUUGCACAUAGUAAAGGUCUCUGUUAACCAGAUGUUUAACGGCUUCCCUCGAUUAAUACUCAAUACACCAAUAUCUAGGAGGGUCUUUCUCCCUUCAUGAAUAUACAGUAGCGAUAUACAUAUAGACUUUAGAAAAAGUAAUAAUCUGACUCUUCUACCAAAUAUAAAUGUGAUUAUAAUCAUAUAAUCCAGGCUUUCUCAGGGAACAUUUUUCAGGGCUAAUUUCUCAAAACUGUAACUAAAUUAUCCAAGACAAAGUCUUAUAUUCCAUGAAUACAUUUCUCGAAAUCAAGAUUUGCAAAUUCAACCAUUAGACACUUUGUGGGAAACCAGCUCAUGUUUAAUUGUGACAUUUUAAAAUUGUACAGGUAUUUUGACAUCUGCCCCCCACAUUUAGUCUCUCAAAAUGACAGGAAAACAACCAAUCACAGGUUUAAUACAUUGACCCCUUCAGUUCCUAUAUGCAGCACCCAAUAUUCCUUUGAAAUAUGAAAUAGACCUGGCAGUGGCCAACAGUAAAUUUCUGCCCGCUGCCUCCCACCACCAACGGAGUUGAAAAGUUCAGGUUUAGUGUUGUUGUAGUGGCACUUGUCCAGAAUUGGUACCUCCCCAUAGUUGGGGGACUUUAAAUGUACCAAUGAAAAUAGCUUUUUCCCCUUCAAGGGGAAGAAAGAAAAUCACUCCUCAAAAC
rnacentral:lncRNA from 1 species